AUUGAACGCUGGCGGCAGGCCUAACACAUGCAAGUCGAGCGGCAGCGGGAAAGUAGCUUGCUACUUUUGCCGGCGAGCGGCGGACGGGUGAGUAAUGCCUGGGAAAUUGCCCAGUCGAGGGGGAUAACAGUUGGAAACGACUGCUAAUACCGCAUACGCCCUACGGGGGAUAGCAGGGGACCUUCGGGCCUUGCGCGAUUGGAUAUGCCCAGGUGGGAUUAGCUAGUUGGUGAGGUAAUGGCUCACCAAGGCGACGAUCCCUAGCUGGUCUGAGAGGAUGAUCAGCCACACUGGAACUGAGACACGGUCCAGACUCCUACGGGAGGCAGCAGUGGGGAGUAUUGCACAAUGGGGGAAACCCUGAUGCGGCCAUGCCGCGUGUGUGGAGAAGGCCUUCGGGUUGUAAAGCACUUUCAGCGAGGAGGAAAGGUUGGUAGCUAAUAACUGCCAGCUGUGACGUUACUCGCAGGAGAAGCACCGGCUAACUCCGUGCCAGCCGCCGCCGUAAAAC
rnacentral:rRNA from 1 species